UAUUUAACGUCCUAUUUAUUCCUAUCUUAGACAGCUGGAUGCAACCACGUGAAGAAGAUAAAGUUAGUAAAUGCAAUCUACAUUGAUGACUCAGCACUUUGUCAAUUGAAUUUGCUCAGCAAAAGUUUGGUUGAAAUGGAAAUCAGCGAGUGCCCGGAAGUAACUUCAAAGGUCUCAAAUGUUUGACUGAAUUGCAGAAUUUGAAACAUUUGAAAAUUGGAGAGCUUCUCAACGUGAAAGAUGAAGAAAUAAAUGAUUUGAUAAAACUGUUGCCAACAAAUUGCGAUUUGAUUCGUGAAGGAAAAGAGAAAGAAAAAGUGAAAGAAUAAGAAUGUAAAAGGUAUUUAUCAACAUUAUUCAUGAUCGAUUACGUUACCAUGAAGUUUCAAGGUUGUUAACCAAUGAUUGUAUUCUAAUGAGACUGAAAAUGGUGAUUCAUAACAAAAUAUAAAGUAGUUUAAGUUGAUAAAACAUGUUUAAAAUGUAGUUAAUUUAUUGAUUUAUUAUAAAGUAAUUAGAAUAUCAAUAUAGCAAAUUAAUGUAAUAUAAUAA